rnacentral:rRNA from 1 species
UACGAAGGUUGCGAGCGUUGUUCGGAAUCACUGGGCUUAAAGCGCAUGUAGGCGGCCCUCCAAGUGCCUUGUGAAAUCCCACGGCUCAACCGUGGAAUUGCUUGGUAGACUGUUGGGCUUGAGGCAGGUAGGGGCGCGUGGAACUCUUGGUGGAGCGGUGGAAUGCGUAGAUAUCAAGAGGAACGCCGGUGGCGAAAGCGGCGCGCUGGGCUUGUCCUGACGCUGAGAUGCGAAAGCCAGGGGAG